rnacentral:rRNA from 1 species
AUGAAGCUGGAGGUGUCGCCGAGGCAGAGGACCCAAGAAGCAGAGCAGAACGAGGGCGUCGCCGUGGAGCCAUGGAAGCACCCGAAGCAGCUCUGCGCUAGCCUGGGCUACGGGGAGGAGGAGGCGUCACGGCUGGUGCCGCCGCUCAACUUCGGCAUGGUCGACGACGGCGUCUUCCGGUCGGGGUUCCCCGACGCGGCCAACUUCCGGUUCCUCGCGUCCCUCAACCUGCGCUCCGUCGUGUACCUGUGCCCGGAGCCGUACCCGGAGCAGAACGCGCGGUUCCUGGGGCGCAGCGGGAUCAAGCUCCACCACUUCGGAAUCCAGGGCCGCAAGGAACCGUUUGUCGACAUCCCCGAAGAAACGAUCCGCGAGGCGCUCAAAGUCAUCCUUGACGUGAGAAACCACCCGGUGCUCAUCCACUGCAAGAGAGGCAAGGUAUAUUCUGCACCCUAUACACCUCAUACAGCACUUUCUAAUGAAAAUCAUAACCAUGUGCUUCUCUCAGCACCGUACCGGCUGCGUGGUGGGCUGCCUGAGGAAGCUGCACAAGUGGCGCCUGUCCUCCGUCUUCGACGAGUACCUGCACUUCGCGGCGGCCAAGGCGAGGAAAACCGACCAGCGGUUCAUGGAGCUCUUCGACACGUCAAGCCUGGUGCAUCUGCUCGCCUCGCAGUGUUGAUGAAAGCGAGCGAGCGUUUUUCCUUUCUCUUUUAG